UCCUCGAUGGCCUUUAUGACCAGGGCUACACACGUACUACAAUGGCCGGUAUAAAGGGCAGCGACACAGCGAUGUGAAGCGAAUCCCGAAAAGCCGGUCUCAGUCCGGAUUGGAGUCUGCAACUCGACUCCAUGAAGUUGGAAUCGCUAGUAAUCGCAGAUCAGCACGCUGCGGUGAAUACGUUCCCGGGCCUU
rnacentral:rRNA from 1 species